rnacentral:rRNA from 1 species
UAAAACGUAGGAGGCUAGCGUUAUCCGGAUUUAUUGGGCGUAAAGCGUGUGCAGGCGGUUUGGUAAGUUGGAUGUGAAAGCUCCUGGCUUAACUGGGAGAGGUCGUUCAAAACUACCAGACUAGAGAAUGGGAGAGGGAGAUGGAAUUCCGGGUGUAGUGGUGAAAUGCGUAGAUAUCCGGAGGAACACCAGUGGCGAAAGCGGUCUCCUAGACCAUUUCUGACGCUUAAACACGAAAGCUAGGGUAGCAAACGGGAUUAGAGACCCCGGUAGUCCUAGCUGUAAACGAUGUAGACUUGGCGUUGGCGGAGUUAAAUCUGCCAGUGCCGAAGCUAACGCGUGAAGUCUACCGCCUGGGGACUACGACCGCAAGGUUAAAACUUAAAGGAAUUGACGG